rnacentral:rRNA from 1 species
AUUGAACGCUGGCGGAAUGCUUUACACAUGCAAGUCGAACGGCAGCACGGACUUCGGUCUGGUGGCGAGUGGCGAACGGGUGAGUAAUGUAUCGGAACGUGCCCAGUCGUGGGGGAUAACGUAGUGAAAAUUACGCUAAUACCGCAUACGAUCUAUGGAUGAAAGCGGGGGAUCGCAAGACCUCGCGCGAUUGGAGCGGCCGAUAUCAGAUUAGGUAGUUGGUGGGGUAAAGGCCCACCAAGCCAACGAUCUGUAGCUGGUCUGAGAGGACGACAAGCAACACUGGAACUGAGACACGGUCCAGACUCCUACGGGAGGCAGCAGUGGAGAAUUUUGGACAAUGGGCGAAAGCCUGAUCCAGCCAUUCCGCGUGCAGGAUGAAGGCCCUCGGGUUGUAAACUGCUUUUGUACAGAACGAAAAGGUUUCUACUAAUACUAGGAGCUCAUGACGGUACUGUAAGAAUAAGCACCGGCUAACUACGUGCCAGCAGCCGCGGUAA